AUCCAGCUGAUGAGUCUCAAGUAGGACGUAACGAGCGUCCUGGAU
rnacentral:hammerhead_ribozyme from 1 species